rnacentral:rRNA from 1 species
GAUGAACGCUAGCGGCAGGCCUAAUACAUGCAAGACGAACGGUAAGUUGAGUAGCAAUACUUAGCCAAGAGUGUCGUACGGGUGCGUAACACGUAUGCAACCUACCCUAUACAGGAGGAUAGCCUAGGGAAACCUGGAUUAACCCUUCAUAGUAUUAUUGGAUGGCAUCAUUUGAUAAUUAAAACUGAGGUGGUAUAGGAUGGGCAUGCGUCUGAUUAGUUAGUUGGCGGGGUAAUGGCCCACCAAGACGAUGAUCAGUAGGGGUUCCGAGAGGAAGAUCCCCCACACUGGCACUGAGAUACGGGCCAGACUCCUACGGGAGCAGCAGUAGGGAAUAUUGGGUCAAUGGAUGCAAGUCUGAACCAGCCAUGCCGCGUGCAGGGAAGAAGGCCCUUCUGGGUUGUAAACUGCUUUUGCCAGGGGAUAAAAUUUCCAUGCGUGGAAAACUGAAGGUACCUGGUGAAUAAGCCACGGCUAACUACGUGCCAGCAGCCGCGGUAAU